AACGAACGCUGGCGGCAUGCCUAACACAUGCAAGUCGAACGAGACCUUCGGGCCUAGUGGCGCACGGGUGCGUAACGCGUGGGAACCUGCCCUUAGGUUCGGAAUAACUCCCCGAAAGGGGUGCUAAUACCGGAUAAUGUCUUCGGACCAAAGAUUUAUCGCCUUUGGAUGGGCCCGCGUUGGAUUAGCUAGUUGGUAGGGUAAAAGCCUACCAAGGCGACGAUCCAUAGCUGGUCUGAGAGGAUGAUCAGCCACACUGGGACUGAGACACGGCCCAGACUCCGACGGGAGGCAGCAGUGGGGAAUAUUGGACAAUGGGCGAAAGCCUGAUCCAGCAAUGCCGCGUGAGUGAUGAAGGCCUUAGGGUUGUAAAGCUCUUUUACCCGGGAUGAUAAUGACAGUACCGGGAGAAUAAGCUCCGGCUAACUCCGU
rnacentral:rRNA from 1 species